GUAGGUGGCAAGCGUUGUCCGGAAUUAUUGGGCGUAAAGCGCGCGCAGGCGGUCCUUUAAGUCUGAUGUGAAAGCCCACGGCUCAACCGUGGAGGGUCAUUGGAAACUGGGGGACUUGAGUACAGAAGAGGAAAGCGGAAUUCCAAGUGUAGCGGUGAAAUGCGUAGAGAUUUGGAGGAACACCAGUGGCGAAGGCGGCUUUCUGGUCUGUAACUGACGCUGAGGCGCGAAAGCGUGGGGAGCAAACAGGAUUAGAUACCCUGGUGGUCCACGCCGUAAACGAUGAGUGCUAAGUGUUAGGGGGUUUCCCGCCCCCCUUAGUGCUGCAGCUAACGCAUUAAGCACUCCGCCUGGGGAGUACGGCCGCAAGGCUG
rnacentral:rRNA from 1 species